AGAGUUUGAUCCUGGCUCAGGAUGAACGCUAGCGGCAGGCCUAACACAUGCAAGUCGAGGGGCAGCACGGUGUAGCAAUACACUGGUGGCGACCGGCGCACGGGUGCGUAACGCGUAUGCAACCUACCCAUAACAGGGGGAUAACACUGAGAAAUUGGUACUAAUACCCCAUAACAUCAGGACCGGCAUCGGUUCUGGUUGAAAACUCCGGUGGUUAUGGAUGGGCAUGCGUUGUAUUAGCUGGUUGGUGAGGUAACGGCUCACCAAGGCAACGAUACAUAGGGGGACUGAGAGGUUAACCCCCCACAUUGGUACUGAGACACGGACCAAACUCCUACGGGAGGCAGCAGUGAGGAAUAUUGGUCAAUGGACGCAAGUCUGAACCAGCCAUGCCGCGUGCAGGAAGACGGCUCUAUGAGUUGUAAACUGCUUUUGUGCGAGAGUAAACGCUCUUACGUGUAAGAGCCUGAAAGUAUCGUACGAAUAAGGAUCGGCUAACUCCGUGCCAGCAGCCGCGGUAAUACGGAGGAUCCAAGCGUUAUCCGGAUUUAUUGGGUUUAAAGGGUGCGUAGGCGGUUUGAUAAGUUAGAGGUGAAAUACCGGUGCUUAACACCGGAACUGCCUCUAAUACUGUUGAACUAGAGAGUAGUUGCGGUAGGCGGAAUGUAUGGUGUAGCGGUGAAAUGCUUAGAGAUCAUACAGAACACCGAUUGCGAAGGCAGCUUACCAAACUAUAUCUGACGUUGAGGCACGAAAGCGUGGGGAGCAAACAGGAUUAGAUACCCUGGUAGUCCACGCAGUAAACGAUGAUAACUCGCUGUCGGCGAUACACAGUCGGCGGCUAAGCGAAAGCGAUAAGUUAUCCACCUGGGGAGUACGUUCGCAAGAAUGAAACUCAAAGGAAUUGACG
rnacentral:rRNA from 1 species